rnacentral:rRNA from 1 species
GGGGGGAGCAAGCGUUGUUCGGAUUUACUGGGCGUAAAGGGCGCGUAGGCGGCCCCGCAAGUCAGUUGUGAAAUCUCUGGGCUUAACCCAGAAAGGUCAACUGAUACUGCGGGGCUAGAGUGCAGAAGGGGCAACUGGAAUUCUCGGUGUAGCGGUGAAAUGCGUAGAUAUCGAGAGGAACACCUGCGGCGAAGGCGGGUUGCUGGGCUGACACUGACGCUGAGGCGCGAAAGCUAGGGGAGCGAACGGGAUUAGAUACCCCGGUAGUCCUAGCCUUAAACGAUGAAUGCUUGGUGUCUGGGGUUUUAUAGUCCCCGGGUGCCGUCGCUAACGCUUUAAGCAUUCCGCCUGGGGAGUACGGUCGCAAGACUG